UCUGACAACAUGUCUUUUCUCAUCAGAUUCCUCUGGGCACUCCUGUUCUGCAUUCCAGAAUGUGAAGGACAGGUCAGUGUGACUCAAACUCCAACAGUGACAGCUGUUCGUCCAGGACAGACUGUGUCCAUGACCUGUAAAACCAGCAGUUCUGUCUACAAUCCUUGCUACCAAUCAGGUGCUCCGUGUCUGCACUGGUACAAGCAGCAGUCUGGAGAAGCUCCCAAACUGCUGAUAAUUGCUGGUAGUUAUAAACAUACUGGGACUCCAUCCAGAUUCAGUGGCAGUGGAACUCACAGUGACUUCACUCUGACCAUCAGUAAUGUCCAGGCUGAGGAUGCAGGAGUUUACUACUGUCAGAGUGCACACUAUAUCAACAGUAACUGGGUGUUCACACAGUGA